rnacentral:rRNA from 1 species
AUUGAACGCUGGCGGAAUGCUUUACACAUGCAAGUCGAACGGUAGAGGGGGCAACCCUCGAGAGUGGCGAACGGGUGAGUAAUGCAUCGGAACGUACCCAGUCGUGGGGGAUAACGUAGCGAAAGUUACGCUAAUACCGCAUACGUCCUGAGGGAGAAAGCGGGGGACCGAAAGGCCUCGCGCGAUUGGAGCGGCCGAUGUCGGAUUAGCUAGUUGGUGGGGUAAAGGCCUACCAAGGCGACGAUCCGUAGCGGGUCUGAGAGGAUGAUCCGCCACACUGGGACUGAGACACGGCCCAGACUCCUACGGGAGGCAGCAGUGGGGAAUUUUGGACAAUGGACGCAAGUCUGAUCCAGCCAUUCCGCGUGCAGGAUGAAGGCCCUCGGGUUGUAAACUGCUUUUGUACGGAACGAAAAGACUCUGGUUAAUACCUGGGGUCCAUGACGGUACCGUAAGAAUAAGCACCGGCUAACUACGUG